rnacentral:tRNA from 1 species
UCCCUGGUGUCUCAGUGGUAAAGAAUCUGCCUAUAAGGCAGGAGACACAGGUUUGAUUCCUGGGUGGAGAG